UCAAGAUUAAAUAUACAGGCAUGAUGACUGUGCUUAAUAAUACUGUACUGAACACUGGAAACAUGCUAAGAGUAUAUUUCGAGUGCGCUCACAAAAAAGUGUUAACUCUGUAAGGAGAGGAUACAUUAAUUAGCUUGACUACAGUAAUCAUUUCACUUUAUAUGUACAGCUGGCCCUUGAGCAACAUGGGUUUGAACUGUGCAGAUCCACUUAUAUGCAGAUUUUUUAAAAACAGUACAGUAUUGUAAAUGGGUUUUCUCUAAUGAUUCCAAAUAACACUUUUUCUUUAGCUUACUUUAUUAUAAGAAUACAGUAUGUGAUACAUGUAACAUAAAAUAUAUGUGCUAAUAGACUGUUUAUCAGUAAGGUUUCUUCUGAUCAAUAGCAGGCUAUCAGUAGCUAAGUUUUGGGGGAGUCAAAAGUUAUACUUGGAUUUUUGAUUGUGCAGGGAAUUGACCCUCCAACUCCUGGGUUGUUCAAAGGUCAACUGUAUAUCAAAUCAUGUUGUACAACUUAAAUAUAUAUAAUCUUUAUUAAAAAUAUAUAAACAUGGAAAAAAGCUGUACACUGUACAAGCUUAAAUGGGUGAAUUGUAUGAUAGGGAUGAAUUGUAUAUCUCAGUAAAACUAUUACAAAAAAAAAAAAAGAAAGAAAAAAAAGUGGGGAGCAAGAAGGGCAGAAAAGAUGAAAUUUUAGACAUCAAGUAAAUCAACCACUGUAUUUUAAAAUUGGAAUCACUUUAAAAUGUUACUAAAAACAUCAUUUCAACAAACAACGAAUAUAGCAAUAAAAACUACCAUUUAGCUAGCCUGUACUAUUUACCAUAAACUUUGCACACUGAAUCUCAAACUCCCCUGGCAUUCAGAUAUUGUCCAUUUCCAUUGUGCAGUUAAACAAGAGUCAAGUCAUAACUUGCUUGUGGUCAUACAGAAAACCAAUGGAACCAGAACACGUACCCAAGCUUACCUGAAGUCUAAGCUAUGCUCUUUCCCCUACAUUAUGACAUCGUGAUAAAGAGACAGAAUCACAUUUUCUCUACCAGGCACAUGCCCAACGGCAAUUACCACAUGAGCAAUUUGGGUAUACAGUAGGAAAAAGCACUCACCCAAUGUCGUGGCACCUGUAUUGCAUGAGGUUUUCACUCAUUCUUUAAACAGAGAUUCCCUGAAAGUCUACAAUCCGCAAAGUAAAGAGAUGGCUGUUGACAUUUUUUCAGCAGGUUCACAAUGUGGUGAAGAAUUCCAUCACUAACAGCUUGAAGGACCUCAACUUCCAGGCUGGAAGUGAUACACUUCUCCCUCAUGAACACAAACAGCCCAGCCGUCUAAAUCUCCCGCUCGUCUUCCUCUUCAGAUUUGUGAGACUUUAAAUGUGAAGAUAUUUAUUUCUGUUCUGGAGGGCCAGUUUCUGAAUGCAGAAGGAAGAGAAGGAGCAAACGAGAGCAGGCAGCAGGCAGAAGACAGCUUAGUCAUCUUGCCCUGUAUCCCAAAGGAGCUUCGAACCCGCAAGGUGCAAGCAGGAACAGAAAAAUACUUCACGGACAGUAGUAAUCAAGCAAAAACUGAAAGAUUGGCAUAAAAAAACAAAUACUUUUUUUUUAAGUUACAGGCACAAUUUUCAGGGUGCCAGGAAGCACUUGAACAUGCCUUGGUAUCUUUAAAAGCAUUUUUCUAUUAUAGCCCAAGUGAA